ensembl:lncRNA
UUUCACCCCAUCUUUUCCCCAAUUUUUCCCAUUUUUUUUCACCACUUUAUCCCCAUUUAUUCCCCAUUUUUUCCCCGUUUUUCCCCAUUUAUUCCCCAUUUUUUCACCGUUUUUCGCCGUUUUUUCACCGUUUUUUCCCAUUUUUCUUAUUUUCUCCCAUUUUUAACCAAUUUUACCCCAAUUUCUUCACCAUUUUUAACCCAUUUUCCCCCCAUUUCAUGACCAUUUUUCCCCCAUUUUUUCCCCCUUUUUCGUCGUUUUUUCACCGUUUUUUGUCAUUUUUUCACCGUUUUUUCCCAUUUUUCUUAUUUUCCCCCAUUUUUAACCAAUUUCACCCCAUCUUUACCCCAAUUUUUCCCAUUUUUUUCCCCAUUUUAUCCCCAUUUUCCCCCCCGUUUCAUCCCCAUUUUUUCCCCGUUUUUCGUCAUUUUUUCCCCGUUUUUCGCCGUUUUUUCACCGUUUUUCGCCGUUUUUUCGCCGUUUUUCCCCUUUUAACCGAUUUCUGUGUUUUUCCCCCCAUUCCAGAGCCCCCCAAGGACGCCGUUUCCCGAUCCCGAUCCCGGCUCCUUCUCCGGGCCCUGACCCCAUUUUUUCCCCAUUUUUCCCCAUUUUUUCCCAUUUUCACCAUUUUCCUUAUUUUCCCCCAUUUUUAACCAAUUUCACCCCAUCUUUACCCCAAUUUUUUCCCGUAUUUUUUUCACCAUUUUAUCCACAUUUCCCCCCCAUUUUUUCCCCGUUUUUCGCCGUUUUUUCGUCAUUUUUUCACCGUUUUUUGUCAUUUUUUCACCGUUUUUCACCAUUUUUCUUAUUUUCCCCCAUUUUUAACCAAUUUCACCCCAUCUUUACCCCAAUUUUUUCCGGUUUUUUUUCACCACUUUAUCCCCAUUUAUUCCCCAUUUUUUCCCCGUUUUUCGUCGUUUUUUCGUCAUUUUUUCGCCGUUUUUUGUCGUUUUUUCGCCGUUUUUUCACCGUUUUUCGCCGUUUUUUCGCCGUUUCUCCCCUUUUAACCAAUAUUUCCCUUUUUCCCCCCAUUCCAGAGCCCCCUGAGGACGCCGUUUCCCGCUCCCAAUCCCGGCUCCGGCGCCGGGCCCUCUCCUCGCUGGCGCUGCGGGAGCUGCGGGACGAGUUGGGGGAGGGGCCCCGGCAGGAGGGGGAGGGGCCGGGCCACGCCCCCCCCGCCCAGAUCCACAGGUGGGAAAUCCGGGAAUUCCGGCGGAACGUUCCGGAAUCCGCCCGGAACUCCUUUGGGAAUUUUUUGGGAUUUUUUGGGGAUUUUUUUUUUUUUUUUUGGGGCGAUUUUAACGAUUUUUAUUUUUUUUUUUUUGAAUUUUUUUUUUUUUUUUUUUGAGCAAUUUUAAGGGAUUUUUAUGGGAUUUUUUUGGGAUUUUUAUGGGAUUUUUNGAUUUUUAUGGGAUUUUUUUGGGAUUUUUAUGGGAUUUUUAUGGGAUUUUUUUGGGAUUUUUAUGGGAUUUUUUUGGGAUUUUUAUGGGAUUUUUUGGAAUUUUUUUCGGGAUUUUUUUGGCACUUUUUGGACAAUUUUAGGGGAUUUUUUGGGGAUUUUUUUGGAUUUUUAUGGGAUUUUUUUUGAAUUUUUUUCG